rnacentral:rRNA from 1 species
AAUGAACGUUGGCGGCGUGGAUUAGGCAUGCAAGUCGAGCGAGAAUUUGCUAGUUGAAACUUCGGUCGAUGCUAGUGGAGGACAGCGGCGAACGGGAGAGUAACGCGUGGAGUACCUGCCCUUAAGUUCGGGAUAGCUGCGGGAAACUGCAGGUAAUACCGGAUAAUGUCUUCGGACCAAAGGUGUGAUUCCGCUUAAGGAUGGCUCCGCGUCCUAUUAGCUUGUUGGCGAGGUAACGGCUCACCAAGGCUACGAUGGGUACCGGGUGUGAGAGCAUGACCCGGCUCACUGGGACUGAGACACUGCCCAGACACCUACGGGUGGCUG